AAGUCGUAACAAGGUUUCCGUAGGUGAACCUGCGGAAGGAUCAUUAAAAAAUCUUUCGAGCCGCAAGGCUCUAUUAUUUUGUGAAGCGUUUGCCGUGUUAUGCGCACGUAGGAGGGAGAGGUGUAAGAAGACAAGGCUUUUAGGCGCAUGCACUCAUGUGUGUGUUGCCUGCUGUUUUGUUGAUGUAUGCAUACUUCUUUCUUCAUGUGCACUCACGAUUAUUAUUAAACAUAUGUCUUUGAUGUUGUUGUCUAUUAUUACACGUUAAUAUAAUACAACUUUCAACAGUGGAUCUCUCGGUUCUU
rnacentral:misc_RNA from 1 species